AAUUGCUGAAAAAUACUGUGCAUUCAUAAACAAUCAAAAUGUCCCUUUAUCUGCCUUUAACUACGUAAUAGUGAGUGUGUGGUAUAUGUUAAACAUUUUUUCCUUCAGUUUUUUACCUGAGCUGACGAGCCAAUUAGCUCAUUGCCUUCUUUCCAAUCAGGGCAGAGGAAGACCUCCCCCUCCCCUGCCUCCGAUUGGACCGGGAGAGGACAGGAAGACAGGGACUCGCCCAGCGGACCAAUGAGACCAUGCGUUUGUUCCGGUUGUUGUUGCAGCUGCUGGAGAUCACAUCCAGGCCCUGAGGACACAACCUGGGAACAAUACAUAACACUCAGCGUGACAGUGUUGAGACCUCGCCGCAGCGACCUGGUGCCAGAGUGCAAGUGAGCCGCCUAAUGAAAUAGCAAAGAUGCCAAGCCCAGAGUUCAUUCUCAUCGUGUCCAGUUUGCCAAUUAUGGACGUGGCUGGCGAUGCAGUGGAUUCCUCUCAUUUCUCAAACCCAUAUCGUCCCCGGAGGACAGGAGAUUGAUGGAUGUCAGGUCCUAUGAGCUGAGAGGACUCCUGCUGCAUGGUGGCUCCAUCCCACUGUCCCAUUAGCAGCACCCCAGGGAGACACAGACCUGGAAUCUGGGGAGACAGACCCAGAUUAGCUCAUAAAUCACUGCCCUGGGGACCAAGGAAAAACAGUGACAUCAUCACUCUGAGGCCCUCUGUCCUGUGUUCUGGCUGACCAUGCAGUCAGCAACAGUCGCUUUCAGCUGAUAAGAGUUGGCAGCAGUCUGUGGUAAAACACAUUCUGCCCUAAACUGCCCGGGUUAGUUAAAAUCUGUAUCAUGUGAGUGUGUUUGUCAUUUCAGUGACUUAAUAUCUUUGAUUUGUUCGUGAAACAGCAGCCUAACAGUUUAUUUUUCUUGUUCCAUCUAGAAAUGAGCCAGCCGUGCAGUUAAGUAUGCAUUAAUAACAUUAGCUACUUCUGUAGAUAUGCUUGUGAUUGAUAGUAACACGCAAGCAUUCACGACCCUUGCUGUCACAGCACAAAUCCUGCAGUGUUACUGCUGCUACUCGGAGGCUGCUGCUGGCUGCAGAGCAGCUGUUUGUGAGGCCCAGUAUGUAGUUGGGCCUGUAAUAAGGCAUAUGGAUCCCUCCCUCCCACAUGCACACACUCAGAGGUCUGUGGUCACACAGCUGCCCCUGUCUGGCCAACCACUCCAACCUCACCACUUCCCCUCUCUGGGUGGGAUGACAGACGCAGGGAGCAGGGAGAGAAGAAGGAAGGGGGAUGGCCUUCCAUUGGUUGCUCCCCAGAUGUGGCCUGUCUGUCUGUCGAGCUGGAAUGUGCUGUACAGUAGACGGAUAGAGAGAUGUUUAGACAAACAGGGAGGGUGUGUUUAUGUAUCCUAAAAUGAACCUCUCUCAGUCACAUGGCACCUUUGUGGCCUCUGGACCACAGAAGGCCUGUCCCGUGUCAGCUGGUCCAUUCUUUUCCUGUCACGAAACACACCUCCACACAGCUGUAACACAGACAUUUAUCCAAAGUGAGGCACGCUGUCCACUAAUAUCACUAUCAGUGCACGCAGUGUGCAGCUGACAGUGAAAACAAAUGCUAUAGGGUGAACGUUUUGGACUAAAUGGAAGCUGACAGUUUUAAUUCCAGUUCCUCUGGGGACUCACUUUAACUGGCUGAGAGGAGCCGUCUCCCACAGUACACCCCGGUCCUGCUUUGUUAGUCCAUGAAGGGUGGAGAGGAUGCAUUUGUCGCAUGAAGGGAGUCAUCAUGGUCCCCCGGCGGCCGGCCGGCCUCUGUCCCCAGCAGGCUCUGCUGAUGUAAUCUGCCAGACUAAAACUUACAUUAACACAGGAUCCACAGAUGAGAUAAGAGGCCCUAAGGCCGGCUUAUCUGAUGCUAUCAGAGGAGAGGAGCCGAGCCAACUUUCCUUCUCCUUCUCCCCCCUGUGUCCUACAGCCCUGUUGCUCUGUCAGACUGCAGCUGAUUUGUGUAAUGACAUCAGAGGGAGACUGAGGCCUGGCGACAGUGGCCCAAAGGCGCCCGAAUCAUAAACCUAAUUGGUGGCUGUCGCAAGUUAACUAUAUAGCAAAUUUCCACAUUGUCCCUGUUCUGCUUUAGUAUUUGAAUGUCUGCGAGCUGGGAAUGGCUAUUUUAAACAGCUUGUAUCAUUUGUAAGCAGCUUCUGUAUGGUGGGGGGGGUGUUGUCGAGAGGUAUUUACAGAGAUUAUUUCAGUAUUUCAGCACAAGAAUUUUGAUAUAUUUUGGCAAUGGUGUGACCCAUAGCAUUUGCUUAACUUUAUCUUGUAGUAGGGUUUGGGGAAGAUGAGGAAAGGUAACUAGGACAUAAUAAGGGAAAUGAUGUGCACGCUUUUGAAGGAUAUUUGGCUGCGUUGCCUGAGGAGCCAUUAUAAUGAUGUGUAGGCUGUCUUGGUUACACAGCCAUAGUCAUCGCACACAACCACGGUACCUCUGCCAGAGGCACCCACUACGCCACCACAUUCAAAAAUACUGUGUUUGGCCCAGCCAAUCGGUUGGCUCCACAGCCCAGGGUUAAGCGGCUUCCCGACCUCAAAGCAAGGGGUCAGUGUGGAGGAAAAACAUCACACAAGAGCCACAAUUGCAGCCCUCAAACAUGAAAAGUCUCUUUUUAUUUUUGACAGGCUUCCCACUUUUAAUGGCCGGGUCUAUGUGCUGCAUAAACAAACAGUGAGGCUUGGUCUGCGCAGGCAGCCAACACCGGUGGCUUUGGUGUUCAGCGGCGACUGCAACAUUUCCAGAUGUCAGAGCUACGGCUUCUACAGGAGCUUAUCUACACUGUAGGCUCUGUUGGGUGUAAUAUAUUUCCUGCAUCUGCUGUCUAAUAUAUAAGCUCCAGUUUGUGUACGUGCUGCUGCUCUGAUGGAUCUGCCUGUGUCUGCACCUCCCAUUCCUGCUGCAGCGCCUCCUUUUUCCAACGCUGCUAAUGACAGUGAGUUUAAUUAGUGCCAGCAGAUCCCCCCACUAACUGUAACUUCAUUAACCGCUGUCAACAGGCCAAGCAACACUGCACAUAAACACAGCUCAUUAUGACUCUGCCCCAUCUUUUGUCUCCGCGCUGUUCCAGAAUCCAACACGAUUUAUCUCUAUCUGACUGUCGCUACAUAUACAUAUAUAAAUCCCACACCAUAAUGAGGGCCCUCCAGUCGGAAUGGAUGGCAAGCCGUGAGGUCAUUUUUCACUCCCUGCACAGACUGUGGAGCAAAACGCAGGCUUUUGUCUUAGUUUCCCAUUAAAAGGUGGAGACAGCUGUGGUUCCGUGUCUGUUCCAGUGGAAAAUCCAGCAUUCGGCGGUUAUCAUCCAAAUUGUAAACGUGAUGGUUUUGUACAAAAUGAGUCUUAAUCAUGAGAUGGUAAAUUGGUGUCAAUCAGUCCGUUAACUAUGUGGUGGAAAUUUGUGUGAGAUCUAUCUCAUUGAUUUAUCCUCUGACCCACAAAUCUAAAGUAUACCAGUAUUAACUUUACCGCUCACAUCAAAAUGCAUCGACCAACUCUUGCUCUUUAGCAACAAGAUCAAUUUUCUCUAAUAAGGACGUGUGACGCUCUGUGUAGGUAUGUGCAGCCCCAGUAGUGGAUCUGGUGGUGUAGAAGUAAAACUGGGCCAGUAAAUCCAAUAUCAGCCCACAGAGAAAGUGAUUUAUGAGACUGCAAUGGGAACAGCUUUCAUGACUUCACUGUCUUUUCUGAAGAGCUGUGUAUAUGAUGCGUAAAAGUGAUAAUUUGCCUGGUCAAAUAUUCUCCAUCUUUUCUCUGUUUGGCUGCCAUGGUGCAGUUUACAGCACCGUUUGGCUGCUAAUAGAGAGAUAACCCCAAGCCCUUAGAUUCCUGACAGGCGCGGAUUGUCAGUCUGUGGUUCUGAAACCUCCCUAAUCAAAAAUCUUUCGGAGCGAGCCAGUGGAUUCUGCAGGGGUGAGCAUCAUCAAAGCCUUUCAUGGUCCUCUGGCUAAAGGGAGAUACGGGGGAAGGGGAGAAAGCCUGGGCAGGUAUACGCUGUGCUCUUUGUUUACCCUUUCUCUUACCAGUCUGCUGCACAGAUGGCCAACAAUUAUUUCUCUGUGUGCAUGGCCGCUGGCAAGCCACCAGCUUCUCAGAGAUUGGUGUAAUCCUUUAUUAUUUAUGAUUGUCUGGGAUUUUUGGAUCAAGAUUUAACACAAUCUGUUGAAUAACUGAGAGGUGCGGGAGGCAGCAGAGUGGAAUGAAAUGCAAACAAAGAGAGUGGAAAUGAUGAAGUCAGAGCAUCCAUAAUGAAGAUGUGAUGCUCACUGUUAGUUGAACUGCUCCUGAAUCCAGCACACUUUAAUCCCAUUAACACUGACUAAAUAUACCAUUUGUUUUAAGCUUGCCAGUGGUGGUGUUUAUGCUAAUAGCCUGGCUGCUCAAGGCGAUUUCAGAAGACUUUUGGAGGACACCGGCUAAUAAUUAGAUUUAAUAAGGAAGUAAAUUUCUAUCCUCAUUUGAAAUAAAAAUAAGAGGCUCAACCUCUCAUAGGACAGGCAUUAAUUUGUUGAUUUGGUCUCGCUUUCUCUCUCGGGGCUCCAUAAUGCUUUAACCCUUUUGUGUCCUUGUUAAGGGAACAAAAAAAACAUUGAUUGCAAUAGUCUGGGGGAUAUUCACAAAAAUCAAUCGAUAAAUCUGAUGACAUGAUAUUUAUUGCCAAACUAUUUGAUAAUGUAAAUGAAACUUUGAGAUACUUGUACUGGAGUAUUUCCAUUUUCUGCUACUU